UACGAAGGGGCUAGCGUUGCUCGGAAUCACUGGGCGUAAAGGGUGCGUAGGCGGGUCUUUAAGUCAGGGUGAAUCCUGGAGCUCAACUCCAGAACUGCCUUUGAUACUGAAGAUCUUGAGUUCGGGAGAGGUGAGUGGAACUGCGAGUGUAGAGGUGAAAUUCGUAGAUAUUCGCAAGAACACCAGUGGCGAAGGCGGCUCACUGGCCCGAUACUGACGCUGAGGCACGAAGCGUGGGAGCAACAGGG
rnacentral:rRNA from 1 species